rnacentral:lncRNA from 1 species
UUAGCCCGUGAGUCACCUUGAAGUAAAAGCAGUUGACAAACAGUGAGGCGAGAACAGGCCUUCCGGGUUAUGGGCCAGGUAUACCGGGCCCCAGAUGUACCACAGUGUUUUUAGAAUGAGCACAAGAAGGGGAUGGGCAGGCAAGGUAAGGAAGGGCCAGGGCAGGGCCUUGAGCUAUGGGUACUACUUUAUUUUCAGGAAAUAGAAGUAACUGAAAUGCUGACUGGUAUGUGACCAGUCGUGCAAGGGACAUUUUAUCACACCUCUUCUGAAUACCUUUUCGAUGUGGCACCAUCUUGGAGUAUUUGCAGAUGUGAAAGGAAAUUCUUUUUCCUCAAGUGGGAAUGCUCUCCUGAGGCUGGACAAAGUCGCAAGGGGCUGUUCGUCUUUCUCCUUGAGCUUCACACCCUUUUCUGUUGGUGAUGUCUGUCACUCGUUUUCUGAGAAUCACACACCCCUGUAUCUACUUCACAUCAUUGCCUUCUCUGAGACCAUGCAGUGAGGACGGCUGUCCCAGGUUGGUUUCUGUCAGGCUGCUGAUCCUUCUUCUCUAGAAAGGGUCCUCAUGUGCCAGUAGAUGAGCUCUGUAGGCAGAGUCGCAUUCACCUGCAGGAAAAAACAGUUGGGAAUGUUAGGAGCAGGUGAACAGGUUAGGAAAGGGUGUCAAGGGAAAAUAAGAUUUCCCUAUGCAAUUGAGAAAAUUGUAGCAGGCUUUGACAAACAGUAAGAAAGAAGAGGGAAGUUACCAAGGAGGAAAAGACCUUCGGUUCUUAAAUAGGAAGAGUUCAGAUCGACUUAGUUAUCCCUAAAAAAGAUUCAGAGGGGAAAGAGGCCUUCCUUCUUUUCCUCCUCACUUGUUUGUUUUGCUUGUUUUUCCCUUGCAGUGUUGACCUGGGGGUUCUGCAGACGAGCACAUUAUAUUUUCUUGAUUGAAAUUUUAGGGCAGAGAUAAGCCAGUUGUGGGGAAGCUGUUGCUCAGGGGUUUCCAGAGUAGAGAAUGGUACUGGCAGGGACCAAUGGGAGUGGGCCCAGAGCUGGGGGGAGACUUGAGCAGUCAUGGAAUCUGGCUCCCUCGGACUGGAGAUGGAGAAAAUAAGGCUUGGGAAGUUUAAAUGACUCCGUGCUGCCCAGUCUUAGAAAAGCCCUUAAAUGUCACCUUGCCCCACUGCCCAAGGUCACACAGCUAAUUAGUAUAAUGGAAUGAGCCCUGCAUCUACGCCUGCCCAUUCUUAAACCGGAACGCUGAACGUAUUCAUCUCAAGUUCAUGAAAAGGCCACACACUGUACUAUUUGUGGCAAGAGCGAGUCUGUUAGAAUAAAAUCAUCUUUCCUGCUGUCCUCCGGGACCCUCACAGAAAUGAGAUGUUGGUCAUAUGAAGCGAUCUUAUUGAACAGAAAAACUUUUAAGGCAAAAAGUUGUAUCCCCUGAGGCAACUAGCCUGUGCUGAGAGGGACCAGCUGUCUUGCAGCAUGAGCAGCUGGCAGCCAGGAGUGGUUGAUGAGAGACACCAGCCAUGGGUUAAAAUUCUCCCAACAGAAACAGUCUCCUUCUUCUCCCUUUGAUGGAUUCGCUCU